UUAAAUUGAAGAGUUUGAUCAUGGCUCAGAUUGAACGCUGGCGGCAGGCCUAACACAUGCAAGUCGAACGGUAACAGGAAACAGCUUGCUGUUUCGCUGACGAGUGGCGGACGGGUGAGUAAUGUCUGGGAAACUGCCUGAUGGAGGGGGAUAACUACUGGAAACGGUAGCUAAUACCGCAUAAUGUCGCAAGACCAAAGAGGGGGACCUUCGGGCCUCUUGCCAUCGGAUGUGCCCAGAUGGGAUUAGCUAGUAGGUGGGGUAACGGCUCACCUAGGCGACGAUCCCUAGCUGGUCUGAGAGGAUGACCAGCCACACUGGAACUGAGACACGGUCCAGACUCCUACGGGAGG
rnacentral:rRNA from 1 species